rnacentral:rRNA from 2 species
UAGAGUUUGAUCCAUGGCUCAGGACGAACGCUGGCGGCGUGCUUAACACAUGCAAGUCGAACGGUAAGGCCCCUUCGGGGGUACACGAGUGGCGAACGGGUGAGUAACACGUGAGCAACCUGCCCUUGACUCUGGAAUAACAGUUGGAAACAGCUGCUAAUACUGGAUAUUCAUCGUUCCCUUCCUGGGGGGUGGUGGAAAGCUCCGGCGGUCAGGGAUGGGCUCGCGGCCUAUCAGCUUGUUGGUGAGGUAAUGGCUCACCAAGGCUUCGACGGGUAGCCGGCCUGAGAGGGCGACCGGCCACACUGGGACUGAGAUACGGCCCAGACUCCUACGGGAGGCAGCAGUGGGGAAUAUUGCACAAUGGGCGCAAGCCUGAUGCAGCAACGCCGCGUGCGGGAUGACGGCCUUCGGGUUGUAAACCGCUUUCAGUAGGGACGAAGGGUGAC